rnacentral:rRNA from 1 species
UACAGAGGUCCCGAGCGUUGUUCGGGCUCACUGGGCGUAAAGGGUGCGUAGGUGGUGAGGUAAGUCGGAUGUGAAAUCUCCGAGCUCAACUCGGAAAUGGCAUUGGAAACUACCUUGCUAGAGGGUUGGAGGGGGGACUGGAAUACUUGGUGUAGCAGUGAAAUGCGUAGAUAUCAAGUGGAACACCAGUGGCGAAGGCGAGUCCCUGGACAACACCUGACACUGAGGCACGAAAGCUAGGGGAGCAAACAGG